rnacentral:rRNA from 1 species
AGCAGUAGCCGCGGUAAAACGGAGGGUGCAAGCGUUAAUCGGAAUUACUGGGCGUAAAGCGUGCGUAGGCGGUUCGUUAAGUCCGUUGUGAAAGCCCCGGGCUCAACCUGGGAAUGGCAAUGGAUACUGGCGAGCUAGAGUGUGUCAGAGGAUGGUGGAAUUCCCGGUGUAGCGGUGAAAUGCGUAGAGAUCGGGAGGAACAUCAGUGGCGAAGGCGGCCAUCUGGGACAACACUGACGCUGAGGCACGAAAGCGUGGGGAGCAAACAGGAUUAGAUACCACCGUAGUCCCUGUCUCUUAUAC